rnacentral:rRNA from 1 species
UACGUAGGGGGCAAGCGUUGUCCGGAAUCAUUGGGCGUAAAGAGCGUGUAGGCGGCUCGGUAAGUCCGCUGUGAAAGUCCAGGGCUCAACCCUGGAAUGCCGGUGGAAACUGUCGAGCUAGAGUCCGGAAGAGGCGAGUGGAAUUCCUGGUGUAGCGGUGAAAUGCGCAGAUAUUGGGAAGAACACCGGUGGCGAAGGCGGCGCUCUGGACCGAGACUGACGCUGAGGCGCGAAAGCGUGGGGAGCAAACAGG